rnacentral:rRNA from 1 species
CCUACGGGCGACAGCAGUGAGGAAUAUUGGUCAAUGGCCGAGAGGCUGAACCAGCCAAGUCGCGUGAGGGAAGACGGCCCUACGGGUUGUAAACCUCUUUUGUCGGGGAGCAAAGAGAGUCACGUGUGACUCAUUGAGAGUACCCGAUGAAAAAGCAUCGGCUAACUCCGUGCCAGCAGCCGCGGUAAUACGGAGGAUGCGAGCGUUAUCCGGAUUUAUUGGGUUUAAAGGGUGCGCAGGCGGAGGGUAAAGUCAGCGGUCAAAUUGCGGGGCUCAACCCCGAACUGGCGUUGAAACUGCGUACCUUGAGUGCGCGAGGAGUAUGCGGAAUGCGUGG